UACGAAGGGGGCGAGCGUUGUUCGGAAUUACUGGGCGUAAAGGGCGCGUAGGCGGCCGAUCAAGUCAGAUGUGAAAGUCCUGGGCUUAACCUGGGGACUGCAUUUGAUACUGAUUGGCUUGAAUGCAGGAGAGGAUAGCGGAAUUCCCAGUGUAGAGGUGAAAUUCGUAGAUAUUGGGAAGAACACCGGUGGCGAAGGCGGCUAUCUGGACUGUGAUUGACGCUGAGGCGCGAAGGCCAGGGGAGCAAACGGG
rnacentral:rRNA from 1 species